rnacentral:rRNA from 1 species
CCCUUAGAUGUUCUGGGCCGCACGCGCGCUACACUGAUGCAUUCAACGAGCCUAUCCUUGACCGACAGGUCCGGGUAAUCUUUGAAUCUGCAUCGUGACGGGGAUAGAUUAUUGCAAUUAUUAAUCUUCAACGAGGAAUGCCUAGUAGGCGCAAGUCAUCAGCUUGCGUCGAUUACGUCCCUGCCCUUUGUACACCCCGCCCGUCGCUCCUACCGAUUGGGUGUGCUGGUGAAAUGUUCGGAUCGGCCGUUUGUCGCGGUUUCCGCGGCUCGUGGCUGAGAAGUUCAUUAAACCCUCCCACCUAGAGGAAGGAGAAGUCGUAACA